rnacentral:rRNA from 1 species
UUAGUGGCGGACUGGUGAGUAACGCGUGAGGAACCUGCCUUUCAGUGGGGGACAACAGUUGGAAACGACUGCUAAUACCGCAUAAAACAUUUGGGUGGCAUCAUUCGAAUGUCAAAGAUUUAUUGCUGAAAGAUGGCCUCGCGUCUGAUUAGAUAGUUGGUGGGGUAACGGCCUACCAAGUCGACGAUCAGUAGCCGGACUGAGAGGUUGACCGGCCACAUUGGGACUGAGAUACGGCCCAGACUCCUACGGGAGGCAGCAGUGGGGAAUAUUGCGCAAUGGGGGAAACCCUGACGCAGCAACGCCGCGUGAUUGAAGAAGGCCUUCGGGUUGUAAAGAUCUUUAAUUCGGGACGAAAAAAAUGACGGUACCGAAAGAAUAAGCUCCGGCUAACUACGUGCCAGCAGCCGCGGUAAUACGUAGGGAGCAAGCGUUAUCCGGAUUUACUGGGUGUAAAGGGCGUGUAGGCGGGACUACAUGUCAGAUGUGAAAAUUAUGGGCUCAACCCAUAACCUGCAUUUGAAACUGUGGUUCUUGAGUGCUGGAGAGGCAAAUGGAACUCCUAGUGUAGCGGUGAAAUGCGUAGAUAUUAGGAAGAACACCAGUGGCGAAGGCGAUUUGCUGGACAGUAACUGACGCUGAUGCGCGAAAGUGUGGGGAGCAAACAGGAUUAGAUACCCUGGUAGUCCACACCGUAAACGAUGGAUACUAGGUGUGGGGGGGUCUGACCCCCUCCGUGCCGCAGUUAACACAUUAAGUAUUGCACCUGGGGAGUACGAUCGCAAGGUUGAA